GUAGGUGGCAAGCGUUGUCCGGAAUUAUUGGGCGUAAAGCGCGCGCAGGCGGUCCUUUAAGUCUGAUGUGAAAGCCCACGGCUCAACCGUGGAGGGUCAUUGGAAACUGGGGGACUUGAGUACAGAAGAGGAAAGCGGAAUUCCAAGUGUAGCGGUGAAAUGCGUAGAGAUUUGGAGGAACACCAGUGGCGAAGGCGGCUUUCUGGUCUGUAACUGACGCUGAGGCGCGAAAGCGUGGGGAGCAAACAGGGAUUAGAUACCCUGGUAGUCCACGCCGUAAACGAUGAGUGCUAAGUGUUAGGGGGUUUCCCGCCCCUUAGUGCUGCAGCUAACGCAUUAAGCACUCCGCCUGGGGGAGUACGGCCCGCAAGGCUG
rnacentral:rRNA from 1 species